rnacentral:rRNA from 1 species
CCUACGGGUGGCAGCAGUGGGGAAUAUUGGACAAUGGGGGGAACCCUGAUCCAGCCAUGCCGCGUGUGUGAAGAAGGCCCUCGGGUUGUAAAGCACUUUCAGUGAGGAAGAACGCCUGGUGGUUAAUACCCAUCAGGAAAGACAUCACUCACAGAAGAAGCACCGGCUAACUCCGUGCCAGCAGCCGCGGUAAUACGGAGGGUGCGAGCGUUAAUCGGAAUUACUGGGCGUAAAGCGCGCGUAGGUGGCUUGAUAAGCCGGUUGUGAAAGCCCCGGGCUCAACCUGGGAACGGCACCCGGAACUGUCAAGCUAGAGUGCAGGAGAGGAAGGUAGAAUUCCCGGUGUAGCGGUGAAAUGCGUAGAGAUCGGGAGGAAUACCAGUGGCGAAGGCGGCCUUCUGGACUGACACUGACACUGAGGUGCGAAAGCGUGGGUAGCAAACAGGAUUAGAUACCCCGGUAGUC